rnacentral:rRNA from 1 species
GUCCCUAUCCGUCGCAGGCGUAGGAAAUUUGAGAAGACCUGUCCUUAGUACGAGAGGACCGGGAUGGACGUACCUCUGGUGUACCAGUUGUUCUGCCAAGGGCAUGGCUGGGUAGCUAUGUACGGAAUGGAUAAGCGCUGAAAGCAUCUAAGCGCGAAGCCAACUUCAAGAUAAGAUUUCCCACCGCAAGGGUAAGACCCCAGAAAGACUAUCUGGUUGAUAGGUCGAAGGUGUAAGUGCAGCAAUGUAUUUAGCUUAUCGAUACUAAUAGGUCGAGGACUUGACCAA